GAUGAACGCUGGCGGCGUGCCUAAUACAUGCAAGUCGAGCGAAUGGAUUAAGAGCUUGCUCUUAUGAAGUUAGCGGCGGACGGGUGAGUAACACGUGGGUAACCUGCCCAUAAGACUGGGAUAACUCCGGGAACCCGGGGCUAAUACCGGAUAACAUUUUGAACCGCAUGGUUCGAAAUUGAAAGGCGGCUUCGGCUGUCACUUAUGGAUGGACCCGCGUCGCAUUAGCUAGUUGGUGAGGUAACGGCUCACCAAGGCAACGAUGCGUAGCCGACCUGAGAGGGUGAUCGGCCGAACUGGGACUGAGACACGGCCCAGACACCUACGGGAGGCAGCAGUAGGGAAUCUUCCGCAAUGGACGAAAGUCUGACGGAGCAACGCCGCGUGAGUGAUGAAGGCUUUCGGGUCGUAAAACUCUGUUGUUAGGGAAGAACAAGUGUUAGUUGAAUAAGCUGACACCUUGACGGUACCUAACCAGAAAGCCACGGCUAACUACGUGCCAGCCGCCGCAGUAA
rnacentral:rRNA from 1 species